GAUGAACGCUGGCGGUGCGCCUAACACAUGCAAGUCGAGCGAGAUUGAUUUUGAGUUUACUUAAGAUCAUGAAAGCGGCGGACGAGUGAGUAACACGUAAGAACUUGCCCCAUACUCAGGGACAACCGGCCGAAAGGUCGGCUAAUACCGGAUAGUCUCGAAAGAGUAAAGCUACGGCGGUAUGGGAGAGGCUUGCGGUUUAUCAGCUAGUUGGUAAGGUAAUGGCUUACCAAGGCUAUGACGAAUAUCUGGUGUGAGAGCAUGACCAGACACGAUGGGACUGAGACACGGCCCAU
rnacentral:rRNA from 1 species